rnacentral:lncRNA from 1 species
CCUCGGCACAGUCGGCAGGAAAGAUGGAUCCAAGAACUUCAGGAUGGGCACACAGGUAUGUUAGGAAUCAAGAUAUUCAAUCCAAAAAAUUAGUAGUGCAAGUCGGAUUCAGCAAGUGCAGACAUAUGUGAUUGACUGCUAAUAAUCAGAGUACAGACUAGGAUGAAUAGCAGCCAAGUGUGACGAAUGAGGGAUUUAGUUAGGUGCAAACUGGAAAUUGAAAGAUUUUUUUCAGCAACAUUGGUAGUGACUGUCAAAAGGGGAUUUUUCUGUCGAAAUUUGCAGCAUUGGUCUGAAAGCGUGGAGAUAAGAGUGAGUUUAUUUCAGUUCCAAGUGCAAUUUGGCGAGGAAAUUGUGAGCAAAUUCCGAACUUUGAUUGUUAACAAAAACUAGAUGAAUAUGAAAGAGAUCUAAGGGUUUCAUCAUCUGUACAUUUUCUCCGUGGAAUGGGGAUAUGUGGCGUUGUACUCACAUCAGCAGUUGCAUGCUGAUUGCAGGGUUAGAGUAGGUCCUUCGUCAGCAGCAUGAAUACCAUAUCCUAACCAUGGUAUGCAUCGUUGUAGGAGUUUUUUGGGUCGAUGGUGAAUGUUCCCUUCACAAAUGGGGCGCGGAAGAAUCUAUGUGGGAAAAUUAGCCAUGAGCAAAGCAGAGGACGAUGUACGGAAGACGAUGGAGGUUUUCGCGGAUGUCGGUUCAAAAGAUACACACUUCACCUAUCGCUAUGUUAACAAGGAGCAUGAUGUUCUUCCUCGCAUCAACCUCUUUGAUCAGGACAGUCUGUUAGAAGAAUGAUCAAUAUGGCUGCUGGCAUCGGCAAGGAUGUUACAUCAUACUCAAACUGCAAGGUAUGGUUGUAAAAAUAUUGAUAAUCCAACUAUUACUUUUAUCUGAAGCCUUACAUAAUUCCAUGCUACAGUUACACGAUACUUUUAUCUAAAGCCUUAGACAACCGCGAGACGAGCUCACAGGGCGAAAGUAUAUCUUCUGCCCUGGUUUCCAGACUAACCCAUGCAACAGUGGUGUUGUUCCAUACCGACCUGAAGCAAGUGUCUCUGAAUUUUGAUACAUUCUUCAGUUCUGCAUCUGGUCAAGAACUAUCUAGGGUAGUUACCCCACACAUGUACUAAAAUACGUCUGCAUUUAAACAUAACGUGUUGCUAAUACUUAUUCAUAUGCUUUUGUAGGAAUUCCCUUGUCCACAAAGUUCGUAGGUUUAUACGAAUAUCAGGUGUUGCUCCAAAGGAACAGCUAGCCGGGAACACCCUUAUGGAUCAUGAGUUGAUGCCCAUAAUCCUAUGCCGCUACUCCCAGAUUGACAUGGAAUCAGACCUAGAACCCCCUACAUCUCAUCGAGGUACCCAAUUGAACCUUUAUUCUCGGUGAGGGAGCACCUACAUAAUAUGGUAUUGCGAGUCUGUACUCAUCAGCCUGAUGAUAGGACACCGUGUUUCUGAUUGCGAGCACACCUGUACUCUUUAUCUGGGCGGUUGAGGUGCAUAUUGGGAUGUGGUGCAUUAAAUGCUGGCAUUAGAUAGAAGUGCUUCCGUAAAUAAGGAAAUGAAAGAAUACACCUGGGUUGUGGGCCAGGAUGUAAACGAGGAGACGACGUCGGCGAAGGGUUGCAGAAUUAGUCAAGUUAAAGCAUGUAGGGUUGUGGAAUUAGUCAAACCAAAUUGGAAAUCUGACAAUUAGUGUGAGUGUUGUUACCCUGAACCCAUCUUAAAGGACUUAAUUUUGUUUGGAAAGAUACUAACAACCAGCAUUUGAGAGUAUAUAUUCACUAAUUCAGAAAUAUCACUAUUGUUGCCUCUGCUUUAUUUUUAUUUUAUUGCGAUAGACAACCAAAUUGGAAAUCAACCCAUUAGCGUGAGUGUUUUUCUUAUACUGAACCCAUCUUAAGGGACUUAAUUUUGUUUGUAAAGAUGCCAACACCCAGCAGUUCGUAGAAUAUAUGCACUUAUUCAGAAAUUUCAUUGUUGCAACUGCUUUAUUUGGGGAGAUACAAAUUCAGUUGAAGGAUCUGAUAUUAUACACAGUAGUGAUAAACUUCCGUUGGCUCUCCCAGGAUCACAGAAUACCACAAAACCAACACCAACAUAUAAACUCUUGCUGGAGAAUUUUUUGGUGACAAUGCUCUAGUAAUUACUAAUUAGGAAUGGUCGAAUAGAUCAAUCGAUUUUCAUGUUUGGUACAAGAUUUUAACAUGGUGUUUUGUGGAAUAGAACGGUGUGUUUAAAUACAACAAAUAGAGUAUCUUGAAUUAUCAAUGUGUGAUUUUAGUGCAAAGAGGUGACAUUCUGUGUUUAAUGUGACCUGAAAAUGUGCCAAUCAAACAUGGAUUACUAAACAGUUGGACAAAUUAGUUGCUUAAAUUUGCUUUAAUUAUAUUUCUUUUUAUUUUUGAAGAGCUCAGUAACACUUGCUACAAGACCAUCAGUUCCUAUCAAAGUGGCACAUGGUGUGAUGGGAGAUCCUAUAUAUGACAUAUGCAUAUUGAGUACAUUUUCGAGAACCAUGCCAGCUUACUUAGCAAGGUCUGAAAAUAAGAUAAUGAUCCAAAGUAAGUUAACACCAGGCGAACAAAUUAAAUAUUAUUAUAGAACUCUGACCAAUUUUUUUCUCUCUUAAUGAGUGAAAGGAAUGAAUAUUAUCUAGCUAGCACAAUGUUACCAUAGCAGGAGGCACUUGUUGAGUCAGAGCACUAUGACUGUAUAGGGGAGGCCCAACUGGCAACGGGCAACGGGAUGAGACGUCAUGGUUGCACAAACAGAAGUCCAGGAGGAAGGACAGCCGCUGCAAUGACGGCAGAGAAGCAGCGAUAAGGAAAGGAGUUGGGCCACAAGCAUGAUAGAUCGUCAGAUGAGUGGUAGUGUCCUGCGACUAGUGCACAGUUCCGGAAGAGGUGGUGAAAAGGGAGAGAGAGGGAGGAAUUUAUCUUUCUGGAUCCAUGUGAGAGGCACUGGAGGCCGGGAUGGUAAUUCAAAACAAUUGAAACCGGAACACAAAUUAGCGAGGACAAUUUAUUCAGUUUUCAGUAAACUAAUCUACUAAAAUGAUUAAAAUCUAUCACCAUAAUCAAGUACUGAAACUACGUUUGCUGCCUUUGGUCAGUUCAAAAACUUAUUAGUUCAGCACUUCAGGUAAAUGGCCAUUUACUUUGAUGUGAUAAAGAGAUAUAAACACAAUUAUACUGUUCAGUAAUUAUACUCUCAACAGGUUGAGUUUGAUUAUUUUGGGUAGGUUGGUUAUUGUUUGAUUUGAAGGGGACCAUUCGCAUCUAUACAGUGUCCAUCCUGAUUACGGUGCUUGAGGAGAAAAUAGUUCCAUAACAGCAGAGGGUAAAAUACUACUUGCAGUGGGAAUUUCUAUGGGAAUUUGUUUUCGUAGCUAAUGCUGUCAGUGCCUAUGUUGGAUGGCUGGUGACUUUACGUCAUCGACAUGGAAGAAAUGACCAUGUUAGUGAUGGACCCAUGCGAGACAUCUGAGCCUAUUGAGGAGAUGUGAUAUAAGCACGAGAACAAUGCAAACCUCAUCCUAGAUGGCCUUCGGCAUUGCAUUCAUGCAAACAUUGCUGGGUGGCAUGUGUCUGCUAAGGGCUGGACGAUUAACUACAACGUGGGAUUGCAUUUUAAUUGUGAUAUGUAAGGCAUUUGAUGCAAUUCACAUUUGCCAGCCUUGUUCGACGACCCAGAUAUGGACUAAUACCUUUUUUUCGCAGCAAGGACAACUCUUCGUUCUGAAUUACAUCAGGGAAGUCGAUCGGCUUUACCUAGAAAAUCAUCUCACACCGGUAAGCGCGUGGGUAAGGGGAGAUGCACAUUUCUCAUGUCGCAGAAAGAUUUUGCUCUAUUAAAAAAAUGUGCAGAACCGGCUACACUAUCUCUGAAGCUCCAUUUGCCCAUGAGGUGAUUUUGAUGAGAGGAAACAGGGGUGUGCUGCCAGAUUUCAUGAUCUUGGAAGUGCUGUUCUGAGAAGUUAAGAGGUGAUAGCGAAGGUAGUUUGGUUCUUGAAGAUGCAAGUCUAGAUGACAACCCCUAGGUUAUAUUUUGACACUUCGGGCAGUUGUUAGCUGCCUUGCCAGAUGCUGCUGUGGUAGUGCCUGGAUUCCGAUGUUUGUUCAGCACUAGAUACACUCAUGUAAAUCAAGACCUAUAUUUUUGGUCUGGAUGUGACCUGUUUAACUUCACCCCACAUAGCUGGCGUGGAAGCUCUUGUGCUCACGGUGAACUUAAAUUAUGAGCGCUAAAUGUACGAAGACAUAUCUUUAGGGCCUCUUUGAUUCAAAGGAUUUUCAUAGGAUUUUUUAAGGAUUAGAAUCCUUAGGAAUUUUUCCUACGUUGGUCAUUUGAUUCGUAGGAUUGAAUACUAUAGGAUUCUUUCCUAAGGAUUCACUUGUACUACAUUUCACAAGAAUUCUAACAUCCACUUCAACCUCU